AUUGAACGCUGGCGGCAGGCCUAACACAUGCAAGUCGAACGAGUGGCGGACGGGUGAGUAAUGUCUGGGAAUCUGCCCGAUGGAGGGGGAUAACUACUGGAAACGGUAGCUAAUACCGCAUACCAUCGGAUGUGCCCAUAUGGGGUUAGCUAGUAGGUGGGGUAACGGCUCACCUAGGCGACGAUCUCUAGCUGGUCUGAGAGGAUGAUCAGCAACACUGGAACUGAGACACGGUCCAGACUCCUACGGGAGGCAGCAGUGGGGAAUAUUGCACAAUGGGCGCAAGCCUGAUGCAGCCAUGCCGCGUGUAUGAAGAAGGCCUUCGGGUUGUAAAGUACUUUCAGCGGGGAGGCGUUACCCGCAGAAGAAGCACCGGCUAACUCCGUGCCAGCAGCCGCGGUAAUUC
rnacentral:rRNA from 1 species